GAUGAACGCUGGCGGCGUGCCUAAUACAUGCAAGUCGAGCGAACGGACGAGAAGCUUGCUUUUCUGAUGUUAGCGGCGGACGGGUGAGUAACACGUGGAUAACCUGCCUAUAAGACUGGGAUAACUUCGGGAAACCGGAGCUAAUACCGGAUAAUAUUUUGAACCGCAUGGUUCAAAAGUGAAAGACGGUCUUGCUGUCACUUAUAGAUGGAUCCGCGCUGCAUUAGCUAGUUGGUAAGGUAACGGCUUACCAAGGCAACGAUGCAUAGCCGACCUGAGAGGGUGAUCGGCCACACUGGAACUGAGACACGGUCCAGACUCCUACGGGAGGCAGCAGUAGGGAAUCUUCCGCAAUGGGCGAAAGCCUGACGGAGCAACGCCGCGUGAGCGAUGAAGGUCUUCGGAUCGUAAAACUCUGUUAUUAGGGAAGAACAUAUGUGUAAGUAACUGUGCACAUCUUGACGGUACCUAAUCAGAAAGCCACGGCUAACUACGUGCCAGCAGCCGCGGUAAUACGUAGGUGGCAAGCGUUAUCCGGAAUUAUUGGGCGUAAAGCGCGCGUAGGCGGUUUUUUAAGUCUGAUGUGAAAGCCCACGGCUCAACCGUGGAGGGUCAUUGGAAACUGGAAAACUUGAGUGCAGAAGAGGAAAGUGGAAUUCCAUGUGUAGCGGUGAAAUGCGCAGAGAUGUGGAGGAACACCAGUGGCGAAGGCGACUUUCUGGUCUGUAACUGACGCUGAUGUGCGAAAGCGUGGGGAUCAAACAGGAUUAGAUACCCUGGUAGUCCACGCCGUAAACGAUGAGUGCUAAGUGUUAGGGGGUUUCCGCCCCUUAGUGCUGCAGCUAACGCAUUAAGCACUCCGCCUGGGGAGUACGACCGCAAGGUUGAAACUCAAAGGAAUUGACGGGGGCCCGCACAAGCGGUGGAGCAUGUGGUUUAAUUCGAAGCAACGCGAAGAACCUUACCAAAUCUUGACAUCCUUUGACAACUCUAGAGAUAGAGCCUUCCCCUUCGGGGGACAAAGUGACAGGUGGUGCAUGGUUGUCGUCAGCUCGUGUCGUGAGAUGUUGGGUUAAGUCCCGCAACGAGCGCAACCCUUAAGCUUAGUUGCCAUCAUUAAGUUGGGCACUCUAAGUUGACUGCCGGUGACAAACCGGAGGAAGGUGGGGAUGACGUCAAAUCAUCAUGCCCCUUAUGAUUUGGGCUACACACGUGCUACAAUGGACAAUACAAAGGGCAGCGAAACCGCGAGGUCAAGCAAAUCCCAUAAAGUUGUUCUCAGUUCGGAUUGUAGUCUGCAACUCGACUACAUGAAGCUGGAAUCGCUAGUAAUCGUAGAUCAGCAUGCUACGGUGAAUACGUUCCCGGGUCU
rnacentral:rRNA from 1 species